rnacentral:rRNA from 1 species
AUUGAACGCUGGCGGCAGGCCUAACACAUGCAAGUCGAGCGGAGCGGCGGACGGGUGAGUAAUGACUAGGAAUCUGCCUGGUAGUGUGGGAUAACGUCCGGAAACGGGCGCUAAUACCGCAUCCUAUCAGAUAAGCCUAGGUCGGAUUAGCUAGUUGGUGGGGUAAAGGCCUCCCAAGGCGCCGAUCCGUAACUGGUCUGAGAGGAUGAUCAGUCCCACGGGAACUGAGACACGGUCCAGACUCCUACGGGAGGCAGCAGUGGGGAAUAUUGGACAAUGGGCGAAAGCCUGAUCCAGCCAUGCCGCGUGUCUGAAGAAGGUCUUCUGGUUGUAAAGGACUUUUGUCAGGGAAGCGUUACCUGAAGAAUAAGCACCGGCUAACUACGUGCCAGCAGCCGCGGUAAUAC